CGGGGGGUAAUCCUGCAAGUCGAAUGGUGAACAAGGAGCUUGCUCUGUGGGAUCAGUGGCGAACGGGUGAGUAACACGUGAGAACCUGCCCCUGACUCUGGGAUAAGCGCUGGAAACGGCGUCUAAUACUGGAUAUGUGACGUGACCGCAUGUCUGCGUUUGGAAAGAUUUUUCGGUUGGGGAUGGGCUCGCGGCCUAUCAGCUUGUUGGUGAGGUAAUGGCUCACCAAGGCGUCGACGGGUAGCCGGCCUGAGAGGGUGACCGGCCACACUGGGACUGAGACACGGCCCAGACUCCUACGGGAGGCAGCAGUGGGGAAUAUUGCACAAUGGGCGGAAGUGAUGCAGCAACCCGCGUGAGGGAUGACGGCCUUCGGGUUGUAAACCUCUUUUAGCAGGGAAGAAGCGAAAGUGACGGUACCUGCAGAAAAAGCGCCGGCUAACUACGUGCCAGCAGCCGCGGUAAUACGUAGGGCGCACGGUUAUCCGGAAUUAUUGGGCGUAAAGAGCUCGUAGGCGGUUUGUCGCGUCUGCUGUGAAAUCCCGAGGCUCAACCUCGGCCUGCAGUGGGUACGGGCAGACUAGAGUGCGGUAGGGGAGAUUGGAAUUCCUGGUGUAGCGGUGGAAUGCGCAGAUAUCAGGAGGAACACCGAUGGCGAAGGAGAUCUCUGGGCCGUAACUGACGCUGAGGAGCGAAAGGGUGGGGAGCAAACAGGCUUAGAUACCCUGGUAGUCCACCCCGUAAACGUUGGGAACUAGUUGUGGGGGUCCAUUCCACGGAUUCCGUGACGCAGCUAACGCAUUAAGUUCCCCGCCUGGGAGUACGGCCGCAAGUAAAACUCAAAGGGAAUUGACGGGGACCCGCACAAGCGCGGAGAUGGCGGAUUAAUUUCGAUGCAACGCGAAGAACCUUAACCAAGGCUUUGACAUUAUUACGAGAACGGGCCAGAAAAUGGUCAACUUCUUUGGACACUUCGUAAACAGGUGGUGCAUGGCUGUCGUCAGCUCGUGUCGUGAGAUGCUCUGCGAUACGUCCCGCCAAAGCAGAGACAUAAU
rnacentral:rRNA from 1 species